rnacentral:RNase_P_RNA from 1 species
CUAUUCCAUUGGGCAAUCGCGCGUUUUCUCGCAAGGGAAAAGUGAGGAAAGUCCGGACUCCAUAAGAGCAGGGGCGCCGGGAUAAAAUCCCGGGUAUUUUAGGUGAAAACCUAUGAUGCAGAAAGUGUCACAGAGAAGAAUACUUUCCAUAACAAAGGAUAAAGGUGAAACGGCAGGGUAAGAGCCUACCAUUUACGGAGCAAUUCGUAAGAUUGACAAACCUCGUUCGGAGCAAGACCAAGUAUAGGGAGCUGAAGCAUUGCUUACUUCUCAUCUCCCGGGGUAGGUUGCAAUAAUCUUUACAGUAAUGUAAAAGAUAAGACAAAUGAUUGCACCCGAGCAAUCGGGCACAGAAUCCGGCUUAUAAAUGGAAUAGAGAA